CCCUUGAUAGCUCAGUUGGCAGAGUGGAGGACUGUAGAUGUUACAACGGUGAUCCUUAGGUCGCUGGUUCAAAUCCGGCUCGAGGGA
rnacentral:tRNA from 1 species